UAGGGAAUCUUCGGCAAUGGGGGGAACCCUGACCGAGCAACGCCGCGUGAGUGAAGAAGGUUUUCGGAUCGUAAAGCUCUGUUGUUAAGGAAGAACGAGUGUGAGAAUGGAAAGUUCAUACUGUGACGGUACUUAACCAGAAAGGGACGGCUAACUACGUGCCAGCAGCCGCGGUAAUACGUAGGUCCCGAGCGUUGUCCGGAUUUAUUGGGCGUAAAGCGAGCGCAGGCGGUUAGAUAAGUCUGAAGUUAAAGGCAGUGGCUCAACCAUUGUAGACUUUGGAAACUGUUUAACUUGAGUGCAGAAGGGGGGAGUGGAAUUCCAUGUGUAGCGGUGAAAUGCGUAGAUAUAUGGAGGAACACCGGUGGCGAAAGCGGCUCUCUGGUCUGUAACUGACGCUGAGGCUCGAAAGCGUGGGGAGCGAACAGG
rnacentral:rRNA from 1 species